GAUAGUGUUGCAGUCGUGGUGAU
rnacentral:siRNA from 1 species